CCUACGGGAGACUGCAGUAGGGAAUAUUCCACAAUGGGGGAAACCCUGAUGCAGCGACGCCGCGUGAAGGAAGAAGUAUUUCGGUAUGUAAACUUCUAUCAGCAGGGAAGAAAAUGACGGUACCUGACUAACAAGCCCCGGAUAAAUACGUGUCAGCAGCCGCGGUAAUACGGAGGGGGCAAGCGUUCUCCGGAUAUACUGUGUGUAAAGGUAGCGUAGGUGGUUUGGCAAGUAAGAAGUGAAAGCCCGGGACUCAAACCCGGGACUGCUUUUGAAACUGGUGAACUAGAUGGCAGGAGAGGUAAGUGGAAUUCCUAGUGUAGCGGUGAAAUGCGUAGAUAUCUGGAGGAACAUCAGUGGCGAAGGCGACUAUCUGGCACGUAACUGACGCUGAGGAGCGAAAGCGUGGGUAGCAAACAGGAUUAGAUACCCGUGUAGUC
rnacentral:rRNA from 1 species